rnacentral:ncRNA from 1 species
GAGAGCCAUUGCACCGUGAAAACGGUACGCAUGGUUCGGGAAGAGGGAUGAGGGAAACGGCCCGGAAUAUGAACGGGAAGACUGAAUGAAGUCCACACGCGCCCUCACCCUACUUUCAC